AACGAACGCUGGCGGCGUGCCUAACACAUGCAAGUCGUGCGAGAAAGUUCCUUCGGGAGCGAGUAAAGCGGCGCACGGGUGAGUAACACGUAGGUAACCUGCCCUCCAGUCUGGAACAACUAGAGGAAACUCUAGCUAAUGCCGGAUGAGACCACGAUCCCUUCGGGGGUUGCGGCCAAAGAUGGCCUCUACUUGUAAGCUAUCGCUGAGGGAUGGGCCUGCGGGCCAUUAGCUUGUUGGUGAGGUAACGGCUCACCAAGGCUGUGAUGGCUAGCUGGUCUGAGAGGAUGACCAGCCACACUGGGACUGAGACACGGCCCAGACUCCUACGGGAGGCAGCAGUGGGGAAUAUUGCGCAAUGGGCGAAAGGCCUGACGCAGCGACGCCGCGUGGGUGAUGAAGGCC
rnacentral:rRNA from 1 species